UGGCCAGGCACCAAUCAUCUGCCUCCUUCUGUGCCUGCCUGGCUGCCCCUACCCUGGGGCUCCCUCCUAGCCCCCACCUCACCUACUGGCUCACUGAGACAGAGCCAAACAUGAAAGGGAAGGUGACGGCCUGGCCAUAGGGCCCAGGAAAAUGCAGAUGCUGACGAUACGACAGUGAAUACAACAUGAAAAAACAAGCACACUUCUCACCCCUAUGGAGCUUUAUUCUGGUCAGGCAGAAGGAGAAGGAAAUGUAAACAUGCAAGGAGCAACUUUUUGGCACUCCCAUUUUGCAGAAGAGGAAACAGCCUGCCUAGGUCUGCUGAUUCCUGUCCUGGUGAGCUCACUGCCCCAUACUCCCACCCUUGUACACAAAUGGAGGUGCUCUUACAGAAGUUCUGAGCCUGAUUCUGCUGCUGCUUCUCCAGCUAACCUUAGGAUGUGUCCCCAUCGUUAGGUGAUGCAUGACUCUACUCUGACAUCCUCUCCAGCUUUCAUCUGUUUUUAUUUUUAUGAUGUGCUGAAGACAGGACAUUGUAUCUGCUCUUCCCUCUGUAAGUCUUGCCAUGCCCUUUGGCCAAAGGCAACUCAAAUAUGGACUUCCUACUGUCACCAUCAAGGUCACUAUGAUCUAAGUGUUUUUUAGGGCUUGUGCAGAGAAGGAAGAAGAUGCCCCCUGCCUUCUCUGCUCCCCAUCAUGUAGGAAAGAAGACACAGGCUGAGCCCCGGGAGGAGAGAUCAAAGCUUUGGAUCUGAAAGAGUGGUUCCAGCCCAGCAGCAUGAACAUGGCCUGGGAAUGUGUUAGACAUGCAGGUUCUCAGGCCCCACCCCACACCUGCUGGAUCAAAAACUCUGAUUUCUGCACUUGAGCAUACAUCACUCAAGUUUGAGAACCACUGCAUUAGAGAACAGAAACCCUCAACCAUAGCAUGCAGGAACAGCGAAGCCAUGAAGACACAUCCAGGUCUGAGGAAGUCAUUUUAGCCUGGAAAGGAAAAGAAGGAGGGCAUCAUCGGCAUAGGCCUGGGAGCCCCCCACACUCAGCACUCCUGAAAGCGCACAGACAGGGAGGUCUGGGGUCUGGAAAAACAACAGGAAUCUUGGGAAUUAUAAGGCUGAGAAGGAGGUGGGGAGGAGGCAACGUGCCUGGCUGCUGCUCAGUCCUCCUCACUGGCAGGGGGUCCCAGCAGCCUUGUUCCCCAGGCCCAUGCUGAAUUUGCUAGUGAUGCUGGCAUUCCCAGCUGUGGUUCGGCACCAAGGUCCAGUGACCCCCCUAGACCCAGCCCAGGGCCAUUUCCCUAAUAGAGACCUAACCAGAGGGCCAGAGUUUGGGGUGCUGACGCAUUGACUAUGUAAGGGCCCCGACCCACUACCCCAUCCACUGU
rnacentral:lncRNA from 1 species